GACGAACGCUGGCGGCGUGCUUAACACAUGCAAGUCGAACGGAAAGGCCCUGCUUUUGUGGGGUGCUCGAGUGGCGAACGGGUGAGUAACACGUGAGUAACCUGCCCUUGACUUUGGGAUAACUUCAGGAAACUGGGGCUAAUACCGGAUAGGAGCUCCUGCUGCAUGGUGGGGGUUGGAAAGUUUCGGCGGGUGGGGAUGGACUCGCGGCUUAUCAGCUUGUUGGUGGGGUAGUGGCUUACCAAGGCUUUGACGGGUAGCCGGCCUGAGAGGGGGACCGGCCACAGUGGGACUGAGAUACGGCCCAGACUCCUACGGGAGGCAGCAGUGGGGAAUAUUGCACAAUGGGCGGAAGCCUGAGGGAGCAACGCCGCGUGCGGGAUGACGGCCUUCGGGUGGUAAACCGCUUGCGCCUGUGACGAAGCGUGAGUGACGGUAAUGGGUAAAGAAGCACCGGCUAACUACGUG
rnacentral:rRNA from 1 species